rnacentral:rRNA from 1 species
GACGAACGCUGGCGGCGUGCUUAACACAUGCAAGUCGAACGGAAAGGCCCUGCUUUUGUGGGGUGCUCGAGUGGCGAACGGGUGAGUAACACGUGAGUAACCUGCCCUUGACUUUGGGAUAACUUCAGGAAACUGGGGCUAAUACCGGAUAGGAGCUCCUGCUGCAUGGUGGGGGUUGGAAAGUUUCGGCGGUUGGGGAUGGACUCGCGGCUCAUCAGCUUGUUGGUGGGGUAGUGGCUUACCAAGGCUUUGACGGGUAGCCGGCCUGAGAGGGUGACCGGCGACAUUGGGACUGAGAUACGGCCCAGACUCCUACGGGAGGCAGCAGUGGGGAAUAUUGCACAGUGGGCGGAAGCCUGAUGCAGCAACGCCGCGUGCGGGAUGACGGCCUUCGGGUUGUAAACCGCUUUCGCCUGUGACGAAGCGGGAGUGACGGUAAUGGGUAAAGAAGCACCGGCUAACUACGUG